UGGUCACGUGAGGAAGGAGACUGAGUUGCUGCCUGAACUUGAAUGGAACGUAGAGAAAGGGUGGGAAAGGAAUUUUGUUGUCAUGGAAACCGACGAGGCCGGCCUGGGAUGGAAUGCUACAAAUAGCGAUUUAGGUAGAUUUAUGACUCUUGCACUCCAAGGUGUUUAAAGGGAGAAUAAGAAAGCCUUAUUAAAAAGAGAAGAUGGCUGCACGCACGCCGUUAAUGCGACGGCUUCUCUAACGUCGGAGAAGUGGUUCAUAUUUAUUGUUUCUUUUUCCCCUUUCCUUAAAAAAUACUAGCGUUUUGAUGUUGCAGCGUUCCUGGGGAAAGUUCUUUGAAUCAGCGAAUUUAAUUGUCAGAAAAUGGACUGCUAUACCAAACUUACUUUGGAAUAAAUCCAAAGGACUCAGUAUUUUGAGCGGAGAGUAUAAGCAAGAUUGCAGAGCUGGGCUGGGUUCAGAGUUGGGUCGCGCCAAAAUCGAAUGAAAGAAUAAAUAAUUAAAAUAAAAUUUGAAACUGAAAUCAAAGGGAUAACUUGAAAGGAUUGGAACAAGCUGUUCAAUUUUCUUUCUGACAUUCAUUUACUAAAUUUAAAGGCCAUUUAACUCCCUGAUGAUUCUGACAGCUUACACCACAAAAGUAAAAAAAAACAUAAUGGUGAUUUUUGGUCUCUACUAGAUUACUAUUCCUAACAUCCCUCUUUAGAUGUAUUUAGUUGUAUUUAUUUAAGUAUUUUUAGUACUGCUUCCUGGAUCAGGAUUUAUAUCUCAAAGCAAUAUGCAUAUUCUUGAACAUUGCCAUAAACAUCUGCUAUAAAGCCUGAUUAAAAAAGGUGUUACAUUUGCCUUAUGGGUGCUUAAGAGUACAUCUGAGUAGCAGUAGUUACCAAUAUAUUUCAGUAGCAUUACUUUCUCAGCUGUGUGUAAUGUGUGAAGAACCAGGCACUCUACCAAACAUCUUGAUUCCUGCGUCAGUUACAAUUUUUGGAUCAAGUACCAGGUAUUCCCAUGUAAAACAUGUGGCAGAUUAAAUAUGUUAAUGAUAAACAAGUACUUCAAUGCUUAGACCAAACAUUUUCUAAUCAGUUUUCCUCCAGGUAAGUGGAGGACUGCAAGUUAACUGCAAUUCUAAUAGCUCCAAUCCCAAAGGUUGGGAAACAGACUUAGGCUAUCCCUAUCUGUGAAAAGCGCAUAUGGUAGUUCCCAUAGGGGCUAAGGCGGGGUGUCAAAACUGCCGGCCCACGGGCCGGUUUCAUCAUACCAGAGCCACACCCACCCCAUUGCCGGUAAUGGCAAAAUAGUCCCGAUAUGUCUUGUGAUGUCACGUGACGUCAUGAGUUUGACAUGUCUCGGGUAAGGCUACCUUACUGGGAAUGCAAAAAUCUGGAUGACAACUAGAUAGCAGGAAAGAAGAACAACCACCUAACACUUCCUGUUGCUUCAAAUGGCAAUCCAAAUUUUGGAGCCCAAAUAUGGUAGUUCUGACAAAAAAAACAUUUAGACUAAAAUGACAAUAGUGGACUCAAGAACUGCCACUAUAACUAAACCUGAUUUCUGUUCCUAUGUUGAUAAAUAUCCAUCUCCAUUGGUUUCACUUUGAUGUUAAGCAGUCUGCCAUUUUUUCUAUAAAUUCAAAUGGGAGUUUGUUGAUAAUUAUCCAGUGUUCUUGGGUCAAGCAAUAGUUGCUUGAGAAAGGGAGCCACUACUGCCUUCUUCAGGGCAGAUGACAACAUCCACACACCCAAGUAUGUAUUCACACCACUGACUUAGCCUAACCACUUGUCACCUCCCAGGAGGCUUUCAUAAAAAAAAAGCAAGGAUUUACACUACAUAUAGUGAUAUUAUCAAUAAUGAUUUUGAGAUGGUUUUGUUUUAGUGCCUCAGAAAUAAUCAGCUCAAAGUCAUCCUGGAUAAUACAGUAUUACCAGCUAUUAACUCAGUCAUUUUGCCCAUCUGUUUCCAACUCUGAGUGGGUCCAAGUGAUACUAUCCUUGGGAUGCUGAGAAUGUUUCUCACAGAAGUCCUCUAGAUGUGUAAAUGUCACAGGAAAAGAAAGCUGGAAAGACAUAGCUACAAUUUAAGGGGUACUCUCAAGUUCUGUGCUGCUAUAAGCUCAUUUGAAUUUGGUAUAUUAUUUGAUUACCUAGCAGCCAGGCCAGUUAUCAUCAAAAUUGCACAAAAUAAUGCCUGUUUUUCCUUUUCAGUGAAGCACUGCACCACAUCGGAGAGGGCUAUUUCCCACUGAACCAAAUUCUCAUACCUUCAGCCAACCUAGAAGGUCUUUUUAAAGGAAUAUUAUCUUGAGUUACUGGGAUGAAAUUAAGAAGAAUUAUGCUGAUUACUUCCUUGGGUACCAACAUACACAAAGUACAAGACUGCUUUAUUUUAUUUUAUUUACCUUUGAUGUGCAAUGGGAAGAGGAGAAGUUUUGGUUAUACCACUGGAGUGCAAACAGUAGUAUAUGGAAAUGCCAUUACAAUUAAUUCAAGUCUCUAUGGCUUGGAAGUUUAGAAUUAAUUAUCUCCUCUUUCUUUUUUUAGUCACAGGUGGUUGUUUACAUCUGCGAGAAGCAUCGGAGAAAGCAUGCUGUUGCAAAAUGAAAGAUGUAAUUUCACUCACCUUUGCAGUUCUCAAAGGAAUUCUUAAUACAGGAGGAAUGAUAACUUGGUAGCUGUGCAGCUUCAUCCUGUUACAAAAACUCCAUUCUUAUUAUGUUUACUAUUGUUGAUAAUGCUGCUGUUAUUUAAUGAUCAGAAAAGAAACAAAUGGGAAGGGAUGCUUUGUAGUGCCAAGGCUUGUGAGUAGCCUGGGUGUGGCAUUGACUGAAUUGCAGUUUUAUGAACCUGGUCAACUGGAGAAAAGAACUUAGUGGCUCAUUGGAUUUUCAGCAUUCCUUGAUCAGCAAGAGAGAAGACAACUAGAAAGCUCAAGUUUAAAAUGAUUUGGAAAGACUGUGACAACAGUGUCAUGCUGAAAUAACCAGAACCCGAUGCAUAAAAGCAAUAUACCUGGCCUGCAGCCAAAUAACAGGACCGUCUGUAUUCGAAUUUCAAAACCCAUGGGGCAUAAAUGAUUGAAAAAUCUGGAAAAUACACCAGAAGAAGACAAUGGCAAACUGUAUUAUUCCUGGAUUGCUUUUCUGUUGUCAAGAAAACUACACGGACUAGGCAGGGGGCUCAACAGGAGAAAGAUGUUCCGUUUUAUUACAUGAUAUGUUUGGGGACAUGCUGGCUGACCUUCUAUGGACUCGGAAACUAAAUGAAUGCUAAUGCAGGAUGUUCAGUCAGAAGUUGAAGAAGCAUUAAUUCCAUACCACUGCCAAGAAAACCACGUGGUGGCAUCUAUGAAGUCAGUAGGAGCAGAACCUGGCUUGAAGGAGACGGCUUUUCUCUACUUAAUUGCAGAUACACCAAAAUGCAUUGGAUUGUUAUUUUAAAAGUUAUAGAGACUAGAAAAUACUAUUUGUUCCAAAAGAUAGAAUGGAUAGAAAUUCAGUAAGGUGAACUUUUCUCAUUGACAUGCUGAAUAAGAGGUAUCAGAUGAAGACUACAGAAUUAUGAAAGAAAAAACAAUCUAAGCAACGUAAGUGAACAUUCAUGGAGUUUUCAGACAUCUGAGAUACUUCAGAUCACCCCAGGAAAACUCUUAAGAACUUUUAGGAUUCUGACUUUUCGCCAGACUAAAAAUAGGUUUUAAUUGAAUUGCACAUUAAUGGUUUUGGUAAGGAUUUUUGUUAAAUGUGAGUAAUUAAUUCUGAACUAAUUCAGCUAACAUUUCCAUGCUAAACAAUUGAUUAUUCUGACAUAUUUUAUCUAAGGAGACAUUAUGAAAACAUUUAAUAAUUGCUGCCCUCCCAAUUACAUUUUCAACUGUUUAUCUCAGAAUAGCUAGCAGCAUAACAUUUAUUAUAUUUCAAACGUUGGUACUGAAGGCACAUUGUUAGAAAGUCAGAUUUUUACUCCAUUUUUAAUUGAAGUAUAUGCUCUAAGCUUCAGCUCACAGUUUAUUGGUUGUCAUUAGACUAAUAUUUCUUGAAAGCAUUCUUCCAGGAACUGCUGAAGUAUGUAUAGCCUCAUAACAAUCUUUCUUAGCACAGGUUAAUUCAACUUUCUUAUAGUUCUACCGUUAUAUAAGAGUAAAGCAACUAUUGUGCAGUUGACUUUGGAUGCCUUGAAAGCACACAAAAUGAAUAUAAUUUACAUAAUUGUCUCAUACAAGCCGAAAUGAUGCCCUGUGCAUCAUUUUGUCCUCACACAAAUUGCAUGAAUUAUGGAAUAUACAUCAGUUGUAUCAUUUGCUUCCCUUUACCCUUCAGAAAAUGAGGAAGAUUUUUUUUAACAUGGGUGCUGGCGGGAUGGUGAUAUUAUGGCACAAAUGACACAACUUACAUGCUUAUGCCAGAUGUCAUGACAUAAUUACAUGCUUGUGCUAUUUGCACCUUGAUAGAUCACCUGAAGUAUUAAUACUACUUUAUAAUGCCUUGGUAAGGCCACACUUGGAAUACUGCAUCCACUUUUGGUCACCACGAUGUAAAAAAGAUGUUGAGACUCUAGAAAGAGUAUA